rnacentral:rRNA from 1 species
GAUGAACGCUGGCGGCGUGCCUAAUACAUGCAAGUCGAGCGAACGGACGAGAAGCUUGCUUCUCUGAUGUUAGCGGCGGACGGGUGAGUAACACGUGGAUAACCUACCUAUAAGACUGGGAUAACUUCGGGAAACCGUAGCUAAUACCGGAUAAUAUUUUGAACCGCAUGGUUCAAAAGUGAAAGACGGUCUUGCUGUCACUUAUAGAUGGAUCCGCGCUGCAUUAGCUAGUUGGUAAGGUAACGGCUUACCAAGGCAACGAUGCAUAGCCGACCUGAGAGGGUGAUCGGCCACACUGGAACUGAGACACGGUCCAGACUCCUACGGGAGGCAGCAGUGGGGAAUCUUACGCAAUGGGCGAAAGCCUGACGGAGCAACGCCGCGUGAGUGAUGAAGGUCUUCGGAUCGUAAAACUCUGUUAUUAGGGUAGAACAUAUGUGUAAGUAACUGUGCACAUCUUGACUGUACCUAAUCAGAAAGCCACGGCUAACUACGUG